rnacentral:rRNA from 1 species
AUUGAACGCUGGCGGCAGGCUUAACACAUGCAAGUCGAGCGGGGGAAGGUAGCUUGCUACUGGACCUAGCGGCGGACGGGUGAGUAAUGCUUAGGAAUCUGCCUAUUAGUGGGGGACGACAUCUCGAAAGGGAUGCUAAUACCGCAUACGUCCUACGGGAGAAAGCAGGGGAUCUUCGGACCUUGCGCGACUAGAUGAGCCUAGGUCGGAUUAGCUAGUUGGUGGGGUAAAGGCCUACCAAGGCGACGAUCUGUAGCGGGUCUGAGAGGAUGAUCCGCCACACUGGGACUGAGACACGGCCCAGACUCCUACGGGAGGCAGCAGUGGGGAAUAUUGGACAAUGGGGGGAACCCUGAUCCAGCCAUGCCGCGUGUGUGAAGAAGGCCUUAUGGUUGUAAAGCACUUUAAGCGAGGAGGAGGCUACUUUAGUUAAUACCUAGAGAUAGUGGACGUUACUCGCAGAAUAAGCACCGGCUAACUCUGUGCCAGCAGCCGCCGUAA